rnacentral:rRNA from 2 species
CGGUACUCAAUGUAUUGAUGGUCCACAGCACGGAACACCUUACCAGGUCUUGCAUCCUCUGACAACCCUAGAGAUAGGGCUUCUCCUUCGGGAGCAGAGUGACAGGUGGUGCAUGGUUGUCGUCAGCUCGUGUCGUGAGAUGUUGGGUUAAGUCCCGCAACGAGCGCAACCCUUGAUCUUAGUUGCCAUCAUUAAGUUGGGCACUCUAAGGUGACUGCCGGUGACAAACCGGAGGAAGGUGGGGAUGACGUCAAAUCAUCAUGCCCCUUAUGACCUGGGCUACACACGUGCUACAAUGGACGGUACAAAGAGCUGCAAGACCGCGAGGUGCAGCUAAUCUCAUAAAACCGUUCUCAGUUCGGAUUGUAGGCUGCAACUCGCCUACAUGAAGCUGGAAUCGCUAGUAAUCGCGGAUCAGCAUGCCGCGGUGAAUACGUUCCCGGGCCUUGUACACACCCGCCCGUAACU